rnacentral:rRNA from 1 species
GAUGAACGCUGGCGGCGUGCCUAAUACAUGCAAGUCGAGCGAACAGACGAGGAACUUGCUCCUCUGACGUAAGCGGCGGACGGGUGAGUAACACGUGGAUAACCUACCUAUAAGGCUGGGAUAACUUCGGGAAACCGGAGCUAAUACCGGAUAAUAUAUUGAACCGCAUGGUUCAAUAGUGAAAGACGGUUUUGCUGUCACUUAUAGAUGGAUCCGCGCCGCAUUAGCUAGUUGGUAAGGUAACGGCUUACCAAGGCAACGAUGCGUAGCCGACCUGAGAGGGUGAUCGGCCACACUGGAACUGAGACACGGUCCAGACUCCUACGGGAGGCAGCAGUAGGGAAUCUUCCGCAAUGGGCGAAAGCCUGACGGAGCAACGCCGCGUGAGUGAUGAAGGUCUUCGGAUCGUAAAACUCUGUUAUUAGGGAAGAACAAAUGUGUAAGUAACUAUGCACGUCUUGACGGUACCUAAUCAGAAAGCCACGGCUAACUACGUG